GGAAUUCAAGAGGUUAGAGCGUGGUGCUGGUAACACCAAGGUUGCAGGUUCGAUCCCUGUAUGGGACA